AACAUACUCCAUCCGUCCAACAAAAGAUGUUUCAAGUUUGUCAAAAUUUGAAUGUACCUAGAUACGUUCAAAUUUAGUCAAAGUUGAGACAUCUUUUGUUGGACGUAGGGAGUAUUAU
rfam:Brachypodium distachyon strain Bd21 chromosome 1, whole genome shotgun sequence.